AGCGAACGCUGGCGGCAGGCCUAACACAUGCAAGUCGAACGAACUCUUCGGAGUUGUGGCGGACGGGUGAGUAACACGUGGGAACGUGCCUUUUGGUUCGGAAUAACUCAGGGAAACUUGUGCUAAUACCGAAUGUGCCCUUCGGGGGAAAGAUUUAUCGCCAUUAGAGCGGCCCGCGUCUGAUUAGCUAGUUGGUGAGGUAACGGCUCACCAAGGCGACGAUCAGUAGCUGGUCUGAGAGGAUGACCAGCCACACUGGGACUGAGACACGGCCCAGACUCCUACGGGAGGCAGCAGUGGGGAAUCUUGCGCAAUGGGCGAAAGCCUGACGCAGCCAUGCCGCGUGAAUGAUGAAGGUCCUAGGAUUGUAAAAUUCUUUCACCGGGGACGAUAAUGACGGUACCCGGAGAAGAAGCCCCGGCUAACUUCGUG
rnacentral:rRNA from 1 species